rnacentral:piRNA from 1 species
UCCACGGUCAGAAAUGCAAAUUAACAUG